UACGAAGGGGGCUAGCGUUGCUCGGAAUCACUGGGCGUAAAGGGUGCGUAGGCGGGUCUUUAAGUCAGGGGUGAAAUCCUGGAGCUCAACUCCAGAACUGCCUUUGAUACUGAAGAUCUUGAGUUCGGGAGAGGUGGGUGGAACUCCUGGUGGAGUGGUGAAAUGCGUAGAGAUCAGGAAGAACACCCGUGGCGAAGGCGGUUCUCUGGGCCUUACCUGACGCUGAGGAGCGAAAGCGUGGGGAGCAAACAGG
rnacentral:rRNA from 1 species